AGCGAACGCUGGCGGCAGGCUUAACACAUGCAAGUCGAGCGGGCAUCUUCGGGUGUCAGCGGCGGACGGGCGAGUAACGCGUGGGAACGUGCCUUCUGGUUCGGAAUAACUCAGGGAAACUUGAGCUAAUACCGGAUACGCCCUCUUGGGGAAAGGUUUACUGCCGGAAGAUCGGCCCGCGUCUGAUUAGCUAGGUGGUGGGGUAACGGCCUACCAAGGCGACGAUCAGUAGCUGGUCUGAGAGGAUGAUCAGCCACACUGGGACUGAGACACGGCCCAGACUCCUACGGGAGGCAGCAGUGGGGAAUAUUGGACAAUGGGGGCAACCCUGAUCCAGCCAUGCCGCGUGAGUGAUGAAGGCCUUAGGGUUGUAAAGCUCUUUUAUCCGGGACGAUAAUGACGGUACCGGAGGAAUAAGCCCCGGCUAACUUCGUGCCAGCCGCCGCAGUAAGAC
rnacentral:rRNA from 1 species